rnacentral:misc_RNA from 1 species
GUUAUAUGCUCAUUAGUAUAGUAAUAUUAAUCAAUGAAUAGAAUAGAAAUGUGUGUUUCUUUAGUUUGUUCUUUGUUGUUUAAGCCAGCAUAAGUUUUGCAAAAAUUCUUCGAUUGCCAGAAUACUGCUGUUGUUUAAUAUAAUGAUUACAUGUUUAAUCAGCAUAACCAACUGAUAGCCAUACAGUUUGCAAUGAUCCUAUUGGUGAUAUUCUGAUGGUGUUCAUUAACUAAUUUGAACUCACAAGACGAACUUGCAAUAUGUG